UCGACCUUCUUCGCCUUAAAGCUCCUAGGCAUUCACCAUAGACUCUUAUUACUUUGACCAUAUUUUUAUCUUCCAUCUCUAUUUUGCCAAUUUGUUUAUGCAACAUAGAAUAAUAUAUAUCUUUGUUUAAUCCAUGUCAAUAUAUAUUUUAUUUUUUAUAUUAUUUAAAUAAAACAUUCAAAAACAUGAACAUCUAAAAACAWAAAAAAWAAAAWMAAUGUUUAAAGUAUAAAAUAAAAACSGYGKUKCAAU
rnacentral:rRNA from 1 species